AUAAAACAUACAGUAUAAACAGAUAUAUAUUUUGUUAUGACAUGUUAUUUACUUUACUUUAUUUUGAUGACUCAUUGUUUACUAAUAAAACCUGUCAUAGUGUUGAGACAUUAUGUAUGUGAAGUUAUUUAUAGACUACAGUUUUCUAGAAGGUUCCAUAAACAGGAUGUUUACACUAUUUUAAAGUCUGGGUUAUUUUGGAUUUUUCCAGACUCUUUUUUUUUUUAUACAUGAAAGUGCUGGAACAUUCCAUGUUUUAAAUAGGAAGCUGUCUGGUGACAGUGGAAAACCUAAAGUAAGAUCUUAUUGAAAAACUUGCCUGUAUUUCUUAAAAGCAAAAUAUUACCAGUUUGGACAUUAAACAUUUCAUGGAUAGACAUUAAUAUUGUGGAUUAAAAAAAGAGUAUUUAUACUCUUUGAAUAUAAAAUAUUCAGUUUGGACUGUGUGUGAAAUAUUUGGAAUGAAUACUUAUUGGAUUUGAAUAUGAAGAAGAAGAAGAAGAAGAAGAAGAAGAAGAAUCUUUAUUAUGCAAUAAAUCAAACAAGAUCCAUCAGCAUAUCUUCAAUAUACAAACAAAUUAGCUGCAGACCUGAGUCACAUGCAAAACUGACAGGUUACAUCUUUUCGCCCAUGUUAUUCAUGCUUUGGCUACGUAAUGAUCGUUUUGUUGUCCAGUUACUAAUUGUUUUGACAAGCUGACUAAAUAGAAAUCAUGACAUGUUUAUUACAAAAAGACUCAAUUAUGUGGUGACGCAGCGUGUUUCAUGUUUACUCAUCUAAUGGGCAGAUUUCCUUAAAUACCGCUAUUUUGAGAAAGAACUUCAGUAUCACUUUUGUACUCAGAUAGGUUGUAGGUACGUAUGCCUGAUUCUCGCAUACAUUAUUAAAGUUAGUUUAAGACAUGGGCAAUUAAUGUUGAAGUAUUUAUGUUAAAGAAUAGAAGUUCUGUUAAAUAACUGCGACUAUGUUAGGGAAUAAUAAAGAAAGACAAUGAUGUUUAUAUAUUAUCUUAGAACUUUUAGUACAAUAUUAAAUAGUAGCUAUUGAAGAGAACAGUUGCUGUUGUUGCUGUAGUUUAAUAAUUUUCACCUGUAAUGAUUAUUCUUUUUUUAAUGUUACAGACAAUUAAUAUUCAUAGAUUGUUCUUUUUGAUAUAAUAAAAACACAAAAACUUUCUAUUAUA